UGGAUGCUUGCCUAGGUUUAUCUGCUUGGAGAGCUACUGGGAAUGGAAGCUCAGCCCCUUUCCUCCCAAAGACAGAAGGGAAGAAUAGAAGAUGCUAGGACAGUAUGAUGUCAGGGAGAGGAAGGUGUAUAGUCUUCCUGUGAUUAUAUAAUUGGAGUGGGAUGGAUGGAAAGAGUCAUUGAAGUUGUGGCAAGAAAGAAGUCAGGAUGCCUGGUGCUAGCCCCGAAUAUAGUGGAUGGCCUUGAAGACUUUGAUAUCUAACCAAGAUCUAAGAGCUCCAAAGCACCUGCCAUUGGAACCUGCCAUUGUGUCUUCCCAUGUUUAGGGUAGACAUCCCCCUAAUUCACUGAUGCCCACAGGCUUGAGACCUAUAUCCUCAACCUGGUUUGGCCUCUUUGCAGAGACAGUUUGAGGGUAACCAAUACAGAUAGUAGGAGCAUGAACUAUGAAUUUCCUCUGUGUCUUCUGAUCCCAAAUCCAGUCCUCUUUCUCCUUCGUUAGUAUUGUACCUCUUCUAACUCAUCCCCAAUAUCUAACCCUUU